rnacentral:rRNA from 1 species
CGAAUUCGCCCUUGGAAGGAGAAGUCGUAACAAGGUUUCCGUAGGUGAACCUGCGGAAGGAUCAUUGUCGAGACCGAAAUAAAACAUCGAGCGACUCGGAGAACCCGUGCAUCGGCGAAGGCGGCCGCUGCCGCCGCGCAGCAUCCGUCCCGGUCGCGGCCUCAUACCGGGGGCGGCCGCGAUGGAGGACGGAUGAGACACUCAAACCGGCGCAGCCACGCGCCAAGGGACAAUAACGAGAAAACCCGAGCCCGCGUCGGGCUCGGUGGCCCGGCGUGCCGUCGCACGCCGUGGGGAUCGACACGACUCUCGGCAAUGGAUAUCUCGGCUCUCGCAUCGAUGAAGAGCGCAGCGAAAUGCGAUACGUGGUGCGAAUUGCAGAAUCCCGCGAACCAUCGAGAAUUUGAACGCAAGUUGCGCCCGAGGCCAGCCGGCCGAGGGCACGUCCGCCUGGGCGUCAAGCGUUGCGUCGCUCCGUGCCAGCUCCAUCUCGCCCCGAUGGGCGUGUCGGGCGAGGCUCGGACGUGCAGAGUGGCCCGUCGUGCCCGCCGGUGCGGCGGGCUGAAGAGCGAGUGAUCGUCUCAUUGUGCCGACGGACAACAAUGGGUGGAUGGAACGAGGCCUGCGUUGUGCCUUGCCGGCCCGAGGAAAGAUCACGGCCCCCGAGGCGAGAGAUCCCAGCCCAUGCGCCGACGGCAUCCGCCGGCGGCGGCUUGGAAUGCGACCCCAGGAUGGGCGAGGCCACCCGCCGAGUUUAAGCAUAUCAAUAAGCGGAGGAAAAGAAGGGCGAAUUCG